rnacentral:rRNA from 1 species
UCGGGUCUCGCCACCCAUCUUUUCUUCGGCUGUGCGCCCUCUCGCCGGGCUGCACGCCGUUGAAAUCCAACCAUCGACACCAGUGCACUUUCCGGGGCGCGCCUCUGCGCUUCCCGCUUUAUGUAUGCAACGACCUUUUUAGUUACAAAUGUAAUUUUACUUUAACAUAACAACUUUCAACAACGGAUCUCUUGGCUCUCGCAUCGAUGAAGAACGCAGCGAAAUGCGAUAAGUAAUGUGAAUUGCAGAAUUCAGUGAAUCAUCGAAUCUUUGAACGCAUCUUGCGCUCUGUGGUAUUCCGCAGAGCAUGCCUGUUUGAGUGUCACGUAAACCCUCACCCUUGAGAUUUUAACCGAUCUCCCGUGGUGGAUUUGGACUGUGCCGUAGUUGGCUCGUCUUGAAAUGCAUUAGCUUGCGCUUUUAGAGUGCCGGGCACCGGUGUGAUAAUUAUCUGCGCCAUCGCCUUGCGCCUCUUCAGUGGUGCUGCUUACAGUCGUCCUUGCGGACAAUUUUUUAACGCUUUGGCCUCAAAUCAGGUAGGACUACCCGCUGAACUUAAGCAUAUCAAUAAGCGGAGGAAAAGAAACUAACAAGGAUUCCCUAGUAACGGCGAGUGAAGCGGGAAGAGCUCAAAUUUGAAAUCUGGCGGUCUAAAGCCGUCCGAGUUGUAAUCUAGAGAGGUGUUUUCGCCGGACGUACAAGUCUUGGAACAGGGCGUCAUAGAGGGUGAGAAUCUCCGUCCGUGACGCGGACUGCUCGGUGCUCUGUGAUACACCUUCGAAGAGUCGAGUUGUUUGGGAAUGCAGCUCAAAA